UGGGGAAUCUUGCGCAAUGGGCGGAAGCCUGACGCAGCGACGCCGCGUGGGGGAUGACGGCCUUCGGGUUGUAAACCUCUUUCGCCAGGGACGAAGCUUUAUUGUGACGGUACCUGGAAAAGAAGCACCGGCCAACUACGUGCCAGCAGCCGCGGUAACACGUAGGGUGCGAGCGUUGUCCGGAUUUAUUGGGCGUAAAGAGCUCGUAGGCGGUGUGUCACGUCGAUCGUGAAAACUUGGGGCUUAACUCUGAGCGUGCGGUCGAUACGGGCAUCACUUGAGUUCGGCAGGGGAGUCUGGAAUUCCUGGUGUAGCGGUGAAAUGCGCAGAUAUCAGGAGGAAUACCGGUGGCGAAGGCGGGUCUCUGGGCCGAUACUGACGCUGAGGAGCGAAAGCAUGGGGAGCGAACAGGAUUAGAUACCCUGGUAGUCCAUGCCGUAAACG
rnacentral:rRNA from 1 species